rnacentral:rRNA from 1 species
UACGUAGGGUGCAAGCGUUGUCCGGAAUUAUUGGGCGUAAAGAGCUUGUAGGCGGUUUGUCGCGUCUCCUGUGAAAUUUCGGGGCUCAACCCCGAACUUGCAGUGGGUACGGGCAGACUAGAGUGUGGUAGGGGAGACUGGAAUUCCUGGUGUAGCGGUGAAAUGCGCAGAUAUCAGGAGGAACACCGGUGGCGAAGGCAGGUCUCUGGGCCAUAACUGACGCUGAGAAGCGAAAGCAUGGGGAGCGAACAGG